rnacentral:rRNA from 1 species
AAUGAACGUUGGCGGCAUGGAUUAGGCAUGCAAGUCGAGCGCGAAGUGUAGCAAUACACGGAAAGCGGCGGAAGGGAGAGUAAUACGUGGGAAUCUGCCCUUAGACCUGGGAUAGCAGCGGGAAACUGCUGGUAAUACCAGAUAAUGUCUAUGGACCAAAGGUGUGAUUCCGUCUAGGGAUGAGCCCACGUCCUAUUAGCUAGUUGGUAGGGUAAUGGCCUACCAAGGCGGUGAUGGGUAGCGGGUGUGAGAGCAUGACCCGCCUCACUGGGACUGAGACACUGCCCAGACACCUACGGGUGGCUGCAGUCGAGAAUCUUCGGCAAUGGGCGCAAGCCUGACCGAGCGAUGCCGCGUGCGGGAUGAAGGCCUUCGGGUUGUAAACCGCUGUCGAGGGGGAGCAACUUCCAUAGAGUUAUCUUUAUGGAUUGAGUGAUCCCUGGAGGAAGGACGGGCUAAGUUCGUGCCAGCAGCCGCGGUAACAC